GACGAACGCUGGCGGCGUGCUUAACACAUGCAAGUCGAACGGAAAGGCCCUGCUUUUGUGGGGUGCUCGAGUGGCGAACGGGUGAGUAACACGUGAGUAACCUGCCCUUGACUUUGGGAUAACUUCAGGAAACUGGGGCUAAUACCGGAUAGGAGCUCCUGCUGCAUGGUGGUGGUUGGAAAGUUUCGGCGGUUGGGGAUGGACUCGCGGCUUAUCAGCUUGUUGGUGGGGUAGUGGCUUACCAAGGCUUUGACGGGUAGCCGGCCUGAGAGGGUGACCGGCCACAUUGGGACUGAGAUACGGCCCAGACUCCUACGGGAGGCAGCAGUGGGGAAUAUUGCACAAUGGGCGGAAGCCUGAUGCAGCAACGCCGCGUGCGGGAUGAUGGCCUUCGGGUUGUAAACCGCUUUCGCCUGUGACGAAGCGUGAGUGACGGUAAUGGGUAAAGAAGCACCGGCUAACUACGUG
rnacentral:rRNA from 1 species